rnacentral:lncRNA from 1 species
GGGAAGAAUCUGCAACUCGCAUUGAAGGGGGAUUGGCCAUAGGGACUUGGCUCUACCAUAAGGGAAAGGAGAUAGACGGCUCUACCUCUGAAGGUUCGAAAUCUGUCAUCUUUCAAUCAUAAAUAGGUAUUUCUGAAGAUAGUGGAUUAUUGGCGUGAAGCAAGGUGCCCCAAAGGUCUAAAGCUAGCUCUUUAGUUGAUCCUGAUCCUACGUGACUAGGGCUUUGGUGAAUAGUGAAUACACUGCCCAGAUGUUUACAGCUUGUGACCUGGGGCU